GAUGAACGCUGGCCGUGCCUAACACAUGCAAGUCGAACGGGGUUCUAUGUCGGUGUUUUCGGAUGGAAGAGAUAGGACCCAGUGGCGGACGGGUGAGUAACACGUGGGUAACCUGCCUCAUAGAGGGGGAUAACAGAGAGAAAUCACUGCUAAUACCGCAUAAGCACACAGGAUCGCAUGAUCCAGUGUGAAAAGAUUUAUCGCUAUGAGAUGGACUCGCGUCUGAUUAGCGGGUUGGCGGGGUAAAGGCCCACCAAGGCGACGAUCAGUAGCCGAUCUGAGAGGAUGGCCGGCCACAUUGGGGACUGAGACACGGCCCAGACUCCUACGGGAGGGCAGCAGUGGGGGGAUAUUGCACAAAUGGGAAGGGAAACUUCUGAAUGCCAAGCAACCGCCCGGCGUGAAGUGAAAGAAAGUAAUU
rnacentral:rRNA from 1 species